UGUAAGCGUAUACCAAAGUUGUUGCAGUUAAAACGCUCGUAGUCGAAUUUUGGUGUGAGUUAUGGAGACUCCUACUGGAUGUUGAAGUAACUUCGCCUUUGUGGAGGGGGUGUGGUGGUACUUUAUUGUAUUGCUGCAUUUCCGCCACUGUUUACUGUGAAAAAAUUAGAGUGUUCAAAGCGAGCGUUUGCCAUGAAUACAUUAGCAUGGAAUAAUAGAAUAGGACCUGGUUCUGUUUUAUUGGUUUGUCUGUAUCAGGUAAUGAUUAACAGGGACGGUCGGGGGUAUUUGUAUUCCAGCGUUAGAGGUGAAAUUCUUGGAUCGCUGGAAGACAGACAGCUGCGAAAGCGUCUACCAAGGACGUUUUCAUUGA
rnacentral:rRNA from 1 species